rnacentral:ncRNA from 1 species
UUAAAUUCUAUGAAGAGAAAAAGUAAGUUUUAUAAUUGUUCCACAGAGAGUUAGAAUAAUGCUGAAAGCUAACGUUCAAUGUAUUUCUGAAAAUCAUCUCUGAGAAGUAAAGCAGAACGAAUAAAUUCUAGUAAGCUUUAUCGGAUUUUCACCGUUAUAGGAAAAGCGUAUUAUAUAGUACGUAAUUAAUGAGAGCUAUAAAUAAUUAUUUAUAGAAUCAGGGUGGUAACGCGAUUAAACCUCGUCCCUUAU